GUGAAAGAGUUCAUUUGGAUUGGGUGAAUCCACAGGAGCCACACCUCUUAGGCCAGUGAGAAGAACACAGCCGCCCAGAGAGAGCACGUUGGCGGUGGAGCUUAGAAGACAUCCGGUGGGAAGCAGAGACACCCACUCCAGACUGACAUAGGAAAAUAGGGAUUCAUGAAAGGAAGGAAGGAGAUUCCAAAAGCGUGACUCUGGAAGCAGAGAAGAAAGUUGGUUAUGGAGAGGAGCAGACCCUAGGAACUCAGAUCCCUCCCUGAAGAGUCUGAAACUAAGUGUGUCUUCUCUUAAAGCAAGAGUGAAGAAUGUCUCUGCUUUUCAAAUCUCUUGAGCCGAUUCUACCUUACCUAAUAAUAAUAAUCAUAACAACAACAUUUAUAUAGCACCUACUGUAUGCC